GCAGUCGUAGCCUUGUGGAUAGGGUGAUUGACUGGAGAUGAAAAGGUCGCCAGUUCAAUCCCUAGCUCCACUGGG